GUGUGACUGCGUACCUUUUGUAUAAUGGGUCAGCGACUUAUAUUCUGUAGCAAGGUUAACCGAAUAGGGGAGCCGGAGGGAAACCGAGUCUUAAUUGGGCGUUAAGUUGCAGGGUAUAGACCCGAAACCCGGUGAUCUAGCCAUGGGCAGGUUGAAGGUUGGGUAACACUAACUGGAGGACCGAACCGACUAAUGUUGAAAAAUUAGCGGAUGACCUGUGGCUGGGGGUGAAAGGCCAAUCAAACCGGGAGAUAGCUGGUUCUCCCCGAAAGCUAUUUAGGUAGCGCCUCGUGAAUUCAUCUCCGGGGGUAGAGCACUGUUUCGGCUAGGGGGCCAUCCCGGCUUACCAACCCGAUGCAAACUGCGAAUACCGGAGAAUGUUAUCACGGGAGACACACGGCGGGUGCUAACGUCCGUCGUGAAGAGGGAAACAACCCAGACCGCCAGCUAAGGUCCCAAAGUCAUGGUUAAGUGGGAAACGAUGUGGGAAGGCCCAGACAGCCAGGAUGUUGGCUUAGAAGCAGCCAUCAUUUAAAGAAAGCGUAAUAGCUCACUGGUCGAGUCGGCCUGCGCGGAAGAUGUAACGGGGCUAAACCAUGCACCGAAGCUGCGGCAGCGACGCUGAUGCGUUGUUGGGUAGGGGAGCGUUCUGUAAGCCUGCGAAGGUGGCCUGUGAGGGUUGCUGGAGGUAUCAGAAGUGCGAAUGCUGACAUAAGUAACGAUAAAGCGGGUGAAAAGCCCGCUCGCCGGAAGACCAAGGGUUCCUGUCCAACGUUAAUCGGGGCAGGGUGAGUCGACCCCUAAGGCGAGGCCGAAAGGCGUAGUCGAUGGGAAACGGGUUAAUAUUCCCGUACUUGGUGUUACUGCGAAGGGGGGACGGAGAAGGCUAUGUUGGCCGGGCGACGGUUGUCCCGGUUUAAGCGUGUAGG
rnacentral:rRNA from 1 species